CUAAAAAUGUUUUUGAUUUGAAUUGAAUUUCGAUAAUAUGGUUUUAAUAAUUCAUUGUAAUAAGCGAGCCCGAAAAUUUGUUUUAAUGUACACUUGGCUUGGUUUACGAGUGAACAGACUCUUAGCGAAAUCGAGAUUGAAUAAUUAAUAAAUAGUCCUCAAAAUUCGAGUUUAACUAUUGAUUUUAAGCAGCGAACUUGUGAACUCAAGGUAAUGAUUAUAAUACUGAAAUUUUUAAGUUCAAUCUACGCAUUAAUGAUAAUGCGUGAUCAGAUGAAAAGAUUCAUUUAUAAUUGCAUCCGUCACAGACAUUUUUUAAUGUGCAUAUAUUUCUAUGUGCGUGGUAAACACACAUGAUCUGAACAAUGUACAUGAAUGAUACUUUUUGUAUUCAGAGGUUAGGAUUACUUUGUUUUUGAAGGAUCGAGAUUAAUCUUUUUGGGAUCCAACGACUAGGAUAUAUUUUCAAAAAUUAUGUAUAUGGUGCCACUGUCAUUUGUUGUAGUUUCUUUCUAAGGCACUAAGAAUGUCUUUAUUAUCGAGUCUUUGAAAAACUUUCUCACAUAAUGUUUUGCAAUGUAAUUCUCGAAAUAGGUUUGUUAGUGCUAGGGCUUUAUUUAGAGAUGAUGAUGUUUUAUCAUUAUCAUCUUUGCCGAAUCCAUUAUGCUUUCCUAGAAUGCCUCUGCUAAUCAUUCUGAUAUCUGGGAAAUAUAUGAUUCAUCGAGGCUUUGGGAUUGUGAUGAUUCUCUCUUCGUAGUGGCGUGAGUAGAUAGCCAAGAUUGAAAAACAAGCAAAAGAGGCUAACCAAUUGGUAGCAAUUACAUUUGCCAUGUGUCUCACGGCACGUGUUUGAAAAAUGGAAAUUGAUUAAGAUGUGAC
rnacentral:lncRNA from 1 species